UGCCCCUCCCACCAUCUCAUUGCGACUUCUCCUUUGUCUUUGGAUGUGGGGUAUCUUUUCUGGUGAGUUCCAGUACAUUGGACCCCAGAGA